rnacentral:tRNA from 1 species
UGGGGUAUCGCCAAGUCGGUAAGGCAUCGGACUUUGACUCCGACAAGGAUAGUGAUUCUGUCCGACCGCAGGUUCAAGUCCUGCUACCCCAG